GGGAAGGGAAUUAAAACAUUAGAGGGAAAGCAUGAAGGAAGCUGUGUAAUCUUAGGACUAGCAAAAUGUAUUUUAUUUAUUCAUGUUCCUUCUGGAUUAUUUUCCCCUGGCAACUGCUGAGGGUCCAAUCGCUAUGCCCUCCCCUUCCUCUGUGGAGGGCAGCCAAGCACUUCUCUUUGAGGAUGAUGAAUGUGCAAAACAGUCUUCAGGGCUUCAACUUCAAACAAAGUGCUCUCCAAAGCCCCAAAGCCUUGGGCAGCUUCUCCCCAGCCUCCCUGGUGGAAACCUGGCAGCUUUGCUACAACCUGCAUGUAGGCUCCCACGAGCUCCUUUUGCAGGUUGGUCUGUUAUUAGUACUGAAUUUGGGAUGAAGUAACUGAGAGUCAGGUUAACUUUCCUUGCAGAGAGGAGAGAUGUAACCUACGCCCUCCUACUCAUGUCUCUUUAACGUGGGUGUGCACAGUGCAUGCACGCUCCUUCCUGUACAGAUGGGCUGGGAUGACAGCUCUAACAGAUAUUAAAUAACUCUGUGGGACCACCCAAAUCCUGUUGUAGUCAAUGGAAACUGCUCCACUUGUUUUAAUGGGAAGUCGUGUGGACUUGCAAGGAUCUCACCUGUGAGCCGUACCCUUUGGCCUCUUCAGAGAGUUUGAUUUGCUGAGCAGUUUAAUCAGUGGGAAAGUUUGGAAGUUGAGAAAGAUAGGAUAAGGCCUUUAGUCCUUCUCUUUCUUCCCCUGAUUAAGAGGAAGCCUUUUCCAAGCCUAAAAAGGUGUUUAAAAAAAAGCUUUUCUUUCUCACAGGUAGAAUUUACCAGUCCAGACAGUGACACAAUACAUUUUUUAAAAGCUUCCUAGUGAUUUAAGGGUGUAAGUACCAUCUGACUUCAGAGAUGAGGCUUGGGCAAUUUUUGUUGCCCUUGAGCUGCGUCUUCCUGCUCUUCAGCCUCUAAGGAGGCUGGAGAUGAGGAUCAGGGGUUUUAAACAACUCUUUUUAAAUCUGAGGCAUGUAUAAGAGCUGGCACGUCACAGGACUGACAUUAGACACAAGGAUCAGGCAAGUCUCACAGCCCAGAGGUCUGAACUGGGAACCUCUGUACGUAUUGCCCGGCAGCAAUCUUAAAGGUGAUAUAAGUGUUGUGCUAGAAAACAUGAACAUGCAUGACUGGAGCUCUAGGAGAGGGAGUAUUAAUGAGAUGGAUCUACUAGCUUAAUAAGAAGCUUAUUCCCUCUUGUACCAUGAGCAGGUUGUUUGGAAAAACACAUACUAACUGAGUGAGGCUGGGGAAAGACUGUUUUCAGAGCUCACCCUGCACCAUGGUGGAGUGGAUAUGGCUCUGCUGUGCUGAGGGGGGACCCCAGUAGCAGGACCCCAACCAGCAAGGGUGUCUGCACCACUGCAGCCACAAUGGCUUCUUAGCCGGUGAACCCAAAAUGCUCCCAGUACCACCUUGUUUUCAGCAGAGCAGGAGGUGGAAAGCCCAUAAGGACUUACAGCAGCAACUGCAGUCCACUGGACUCUAGACACACUGACAUAGGUUUGAAUGCCCUUACCUCGGUGGGUCUGGUCCUGAAGACAUUUGCUUGUAUGAAUAGUCUUCAAAUUAGACACUCCUGAAGUCCCCCAAGAUUCUUCCAGGGGUACAACGACUGACUGAAAGACUGCUGUGCAAGAAUAGCCUCAGCCAGGGCAGUCCGAUCAGGCAUCUCUUGCACUGACAGCACUGUUCUCAAUGUACUUCCCGGCCACCAGCAAUGCCACCCCUUCUGCUGAGGCACAGACAGGCUGCUCUCAUUUUCAGCAGCCCCAAUAAAAAAACAUAUUUACUUUAUAUUCAUGUACUUAACUAGUCAUACUGUCUACCCCAGAAAAUCCAUGGGAUUUCCUAAAGAGCUUUGUUACUCAAUUCAUUUUAAAUGGUGGUGAAUGUGCAGCUGUAGUGUUAAUUAUAAAUGAUGUCAUUUUCAGGAAGUGACAGGAUGGAGCACAUUUGCUGCCAUGCUAGCACUGAGCACAUAAACAUCCAAGCGUGCUUGUUUUUCCAUGUGUGCUUCAGAUCUGACACUGAAAUUCUAGCCCUUGAUCCUAAUCCUAUUGACAUGUGAGAAAAGUUACUCAGCUGAGGAGGCCUCUGUGUAGCUUUUCAUGCAGGUAAGGGCUAGCAAGAUCAGCUGGUGGUUUGCAAAUGUGUAGUAUAAACAAGCCAAGCAAACAAGUCUGCAUAAGCAUAGAGACUUCCAGGCCUCGCUUUAUUUUCUCUGCUAAAGUGCAUGGUGGGACCUGUCUUUGAGAUCGAUGGACUUUCAUUGUUGGAUACAGGCCGGGCAUUCUGCCUGUGGUAACCAUAGGUUUUAUAACACCAAUGAAGGGGUGUAAAACACCCUGAAUCAGUUGAGUUGUUCGGUCCUAAUGAACUGUGUUUAGAGUGUUUACACAGCGCAAUUUCAUCUUCUCAAGGCCUGUAAUGUGAACUGUGGACCCAUCCUACCCUAAGGGUAAUACAUGUGGUACUUUUGCUAAGCUAGAGAAAAUAACCUUUCUCCUGCUCCGUUUGCUUUAAUUAAUGUCAGAGUUGAGUUGCACCAUUUUUUUUGCACCGUCUGUAACUUGUUGAAACCUUAGCCUUUUGGGCUAACAUCUUCAGUACCAGGUGACUACUCAGUCUGUUUCUGGAGGGAUGUUUCUAGCUGUUCAGCUCCUUCUAGGAAAUGUUUUCUCAGAAUAGCUUCUUGUGGAAGAUGUAGCGCCAUUGAACUUUGGAAAGAUAAACCAUGAGCAGGCAGUGAUAACGUUAUCUGGAAAAUCUAGUUUCAAGAAUGUGUCUUUUGUGGCUCCUGUGAAAAAUCAACAUAUUUGGCUAAGUUAUAAGCCCUCGGAAAACUGCAGUUUGCACACACAUGGUAGAGGCUUGUAAGUCUGGCAGCUGAACUCUUUGGUCUUUCUGUCUGUAGAGACUGUGCUCCAGUCUAUGGCUGCAUGGACUGAGCAGGAGGUUUCUGGUAGUGCUCUUCUUGGUAUCUCCUGGCACAGCUCUAGAGAAUUGUGCUCUGUGCCAUUCACCUCCUGGACCCCAAACGGUGAGAAGAAAGGGUCCUGGGCUUUAUUUGUGGAGGUGGUAUAAACAGGUGGACUGAAGCAGCCUAGAGAGAAAGACUGAGGAUGAGGCCUUGGGGUGUAGAACAUACUUGGGCACCACUGUAAGAAACCUGGUGUGGAAGUAGGGGUGGGAAACUGGAGCUGGAAACUUCUGGCAUGAAAUGUGGGCAACAACCUGGCAAAGAAAACUGGGGAGAUCAUGUGGAAGAGUAGAAAGUGGCCCACCAAGGCUGUACACCAGGGGUGAGGGCACAAGGAGCGUGGGACAUGGAGCUGCCGUGGUGGCACAGGGGGAGGUGACAGGGGAGAUUGGCGAUGGGGAAGCGGGAUGAUGGGGUUGUGCUGCCAAGAUCCCCUGCAACUGAAGAGGGGAGCCCAGGAUGCUGUGAAAAGCAGCGUGCACUCAUGUAAUUGAAGUGUAUGAUUAUGUCAGGAGGGACUUGCAUAAUCAGCCUUAAUUUGGGCGUUUUCUAAUUUUGAAUGCUUGUGUUUGCAGCCGCAGCUUUCUUUUUAAUGGAGCUUUUUGUCAACAAUGGGACUAUCCAUAGUUAUUCUGUAAGUGAGCUGGUGCCAAAGGGCCAUCGUGAUGCUUUGGUAUGCAAGUCCUGAGCAGUGAAUGAAGUAGUUGUUGCACUUAGUAAAUUAUGAUGAAAUAUCUUCAUGUCAUUUAUUUGUGUUGUGUUUGUAUAUGAGGACCAUAAUUCUGUUAAACCUCGACUACUUCAGAGGAGGAGAGUGAAUUAACAUGGAUGAAUGAGGGGCUGUCUAACUAAUGGACUUUCAAUAUAGUUAAUGCCCAGCAACAAAUUCAGCAUUGCUUCGGGUAAGAGAAGAGAUGUUUUUUUAAAAAAAAUAAUCAAGUUUUGGUAAUUGAAAUUCACUGAUGUGACACAGAGGUUUACUCAUUUGUGUAAUAUACUGUGCAGUAUUAAUUAUUGAGAGGAUACAGGUAUGACUCUUUCCUGAUAUAUGGUAAAAGACAACGGAUGGAGAUUUGAUUAAUAUCUGUGCAUUUUUCUAAACAUCGACUUGUGAUGGGCCAGGGGGAGAUAAGAGUGAAGCUCUGCAGGCAGAUAAUUGCCAAAGCUCAUAAAGUUUCUUUCUCUCUUUUGUUUCUUAAAAACUGCAGCAGCAGAGACAAUACCCAGGACUGUACAGAGAGUCACCGCUGCAGUAGCACCCCUGGUGUGUUUAUCCAGCGCUCUGCACCAGCAGUGAACGUCCCAAACCCAGCACGAGAUGGCCCUGAGCACCCUGCUGUUGCUGACCCUGCUUUGAGCAGGAGGUUGGAUGGGAGGGUCUCCAGAGGCCCCUUCUCACCUCAACCAUGCCAUGCCGAGGUGGGCCGGUGGCUGGGGGGCAGCCCCCUGUUAUGCCAGGGCAGCAUGUCGUAGGCACACCCACACAGGGCAUCGGUGAGGCAGUGAUGAAGGCUGGUGGGAACCAUGGUUUGUGGCUCCUUGAGAGUGGUUUAGGCUGGGCCACCACCUGGACCUGUUGGACAGGAUCCAGAGGAGGCCACAAAAAUGAUCAGAGGGCUGGAACACCUCUCCUAUGAGGAAAGUCUGAGAAAGUUGGGGUUGUUCAGCCUGGAGAAGAGAAGGCUCUGGGGAGACCUUACUGCAGCCUUUCAGUACUUAAAAUGGGCCUAUAAGAAAGAUGGGGACAGACUUUUCAGUGGGGCCUGUUGCAAUAGGACAAGGGGUGAUGGUUUUAAACUAAAGGAGAUGAGAUUCAGGCGAGACAUGAGGAAGAAAUUUUCUACAACAAGGGUGGUAAAACACUGGCCCAGGUUGCCCAGAGAGGUGGUAGAUGCCCCAUCCCUGGAGACUUUCCAGGCCAGGCUGGACGGGGCUCUGAGCAGCCUGAUCUAGUUGGAGAUGUUUCUGCUCAUUGCAGGGGGUUGGACUAGAUGAGCUUUGAAGGUCCCUUCCAACCCAAACUGUUCUAUGAUUCUGCGAUUCAAGGGAGGCAAAGGGAUGCAUGAGCAAGCCUAAGUGCUCUCCUGGAUUGGGGUCCCCAGGGGGCUAAUUGCACUGCCUGUCUUUGGGCACCAAACUUCAAUGCAAAGAAGCUUCCCCACGCCCCCCCUGCAACCCCGACACUGUUUUGUCUGUGGAGGGAGAUAGGGCCAGGCAGAAAGUGGCUUGGAGUAUGCAAGUGGAUUCCUGCUCUGAAUCACCCUUUAGUUGUACAGGCAGAAAAUUAUUGGUAAAAUUUCUGUACCUAACCAAAGGACAAAAAGUGGGCUGAAUGGGAUACAGGUGAAUACAAAAAUUGUCUUUGUUGCCCUUCUGAGAUAAGCAGAUUAACCAUCUUCUCCUGCUUGAAACUUUCCAUGUUAGCACAGGGCUGAGGGGGAAGGGCUUUCUUCUUAACUGGAAAGAUUUUUGAGAGAGAGAGACUGGGAGUUUGAAACAGUUUAUUAAAAUGAGUUACUACAAAUAUGUGGCCUUUUUACAUGCCCAUUUUCAGGCUAGUAAUGUGUAAAAAUACUCACUCUGGAUAUUUUAAAGCAUGAAAUAAAACAGUGUUUUAUGGAAGAGAACAAGGGAAUGUAUACAAGCCUGUCAGAUUUUGAUCAGCCAAAAUGUCAGUUUUAAUUUUAUCACAGGGUAUCAAUACGUGGACUGGCAAUUAUCUGUUAUCAGUGGGGCUUGAACAUGUUUCCAAUGAUAGAUGCCUUUUUAAUGGCUACGGGCUGUACUUUUGCCUCGCAGUUUUAGGCAACAGCCUUCAGUGAAGCUUUUAUGCAAGGCGUGAUGUUCGACAAGCUCUAACUCAGUAGUGAUUUUAAUGGUUAAUGUAUUUUUUUUUCCAUUAGACCCAGAGGUCUGAGACCACAUAAUUCUUCACUUUCCUCCAUCGCAAGAUGUUACGUGAGCUGGGGAUAUCAUGAAGUUUGGUUAGGUACUGCUGUCUCACACACAGGUGCUUGCUGGCUGCUGGCCUGAAUGGAGAAGAGCUGAGCUCUCCCUUCCUCUUGCUUCAGAAGCUCAGCCAACAGUUUCAAAUGCUGCUGAAAGAAGACAGGAAGACACCCAGAUGGCAUGAUACAGACUUUGUUUCUCUAGUAAACUAAGCUAAAGAUGCUCCUAGGCUUCUUAGUGAGAGAAUAAACCUUUGGAAUAUGACUUAAGUUGUCACUGUGGGCUCAGAAAUGAAAAGGAAUGGAUCCCGCAUGCACUGAUUAUUUUUAAAACACUCAGAAGCUCCAAUUCCAUUUUAUGGUUAUUUGGUGAUUUUCUUCCAGAGCUGAAAGGUUGACACUGAAGCCCUAUAAACAUAUUGCCUAUUAGAGGUCCCUCAGGUGAUCAUAACAGAGAAAUCAGGAGGUAGUUACCUUUGUUACGGUAUCCCAGUGCCACCCCAGCCCUUGCAGGGGUUACUCCUGUUAUCCUGGGGAAUGGUGUUUCCUCAGGACCCUACCUUCCCAGUACAAGCUGUUCUUGAGCGAUGACAUCUGAGAGCACUUGCUCUAAUGGACUGUUACAUAUGAUGUGCUUAUAAAAAUUGUUAGAAACAUCUAGAUGGAAAAGAGAAAGGUCCCUCAAUCCAGCCAAAGUGGUGAGAGAAUAGCACAGGGCAGCAGAACACAGCUGCCUUUGCAAGGCAGAGCGCAGGGCUGUCCUUCUGUCUGUCCUUCUGUGCCUGUGGUGCUGGAUGAGCCCUUCCACGCUGUUUUUAUCAGGUAAGUGCUAAAAAGGGCAGUGCCAAAGAACUUGCCACCUUUUACAAUUCCAUGUACUGGUGAAAAGAGCUUUAUUGAAAUAAACUGUGUGGAGCAAUCGGAAGCUGGAAUCUAUUUCCUUUCCUUUAUUUCAAGGCUAUUGCUGGGAACUUUUCAAGAUAUCUUCCCCAGUGAUUUAAAGACUCUUCUCAUAACAGGUGCAGCCUGAGGGCCGACAGCAGCAAUACACGAAUCCUCAUGGGAGUAAUUAUGCUUCCUUUCCCCUUCCCCUUGCCUGCUGCAUCUCUCUGGCAGUGCUUCUGCCAGGAGCUGUGCGCAUACGUUAACUUUAAUCCAUUCAGUAGAGGGAGUCAGAUGCCAAAAUCUAACCACGCACGCCAGCCCCUCUGGGACCUGGACCUCGUGUCUGCAUGCAGGAGCAGAAAUACUCAAUUCUUUGCUGUCCACUUAACCUGGAUGGGGAUGUAUGGGAGUGUCUGGGUCUCAGCUGAGCUGUCUAAACUCUACUGUAAUGAUAAAACCACAGCAGCGUCAAUAGCAAUAUAAUUAACAAAGUCACUGUGCCAAUGCUCUUCAACGCUGCUUUGCAGGAUCUGUCUCAGUGAGUGGAUUAUCUUUCUCUACAUCUGUGUAGUCCCUGGCCCCUUUGGCGGACAUCAUUUGCAGCAGUGCAGGCCAGCACUUAGUUGAAUGGACAUUUGUUUCCAUUUUGUAAUGAAUUUUCCUCUCUUGUGGCCACGGAGAUCUGGUACCAUAGCACUGUUUGUGGUCAUUAGCUGCCACUUGUUUCCUAAGGAGGAAAUGGGGGAACUGAUCUCAGGAAUGGCAAGGACUUGGCACACAGAGGCAUGUAAGGAGCUGUGCCUGCCAAACUUGGCAUGUCUCUUCAAAAACAGGACGUUACACAAAUACCCAAUGUGAAUUUGGCAUAAGGAUCUCCUUAAAUCGUAAAAACAACCAUGCAUCCCUAUCCCCAGCAUCUCAAAGGCUUUUUCUGAACAAAACCUGGAGAACCUUGAGUGGCUGAGGUGGGAAGGUGUGGGUCAUGGCCGGUGCCACGGGUCACAGCCCAUUCCCAAAAGCCAGGUGGGGGGGUGGCAGGUGGCCCCUGUCCCCUCUGGAAGGGAAGCCUCUGGAAAUUAGUCAGCUGGGCAGUGGAGGGAAAGGGGAGAGCAGUGAAAUCAUCUGCAUCGUCCUUCUAGCUGAUCAGCUGAGAAGCAAAAGUCAGCUGCACGUGCUAAAAUGAUGCCUGUAGUUUAAAAUACAUUGUGAGAGGUCAGAGAUGCUCGCGACUAACACUUCGGAGGCAGAUACCAAGGGGGAACCAGGCUCAAACUGGUGGUUGAAAUUUGGCCCGUUUGCCUUCUCCUUUCUUAUCUCAGUUCUUUGAUUAGGAAGGUUUGAACCGAGAAACACCGUGGGAUGUGAAAAUGUGCUUUGAACAUUCAUUCUAAGAGUGGCAAUUGAGUUUUAUGGCAGAACCUGGAGUUGCACUAGUGACUGCACUAUAAACUCUCCCCAGUGGUAAAUCUGGCUUGCUGGAGGCCCUGCUCUGCAAACAGCCCCACAGCAGAGGAGAGGCAGGGAGAAGGCAGGGGGAGAAACCAGGUAGACUUUUGUGAAAAUUCUUGAUUUUGCUAAUUAUAGAGGUCUUACUCCACCACAGGCAAUGCUUUCAGUGUGGAGCUGCAGAAGCAGGGGAGGAGAGGGCUGUUCUAACCAAAACCAGCAACUGUAUAACCUGCACAUUUGCUUUCAUACUGCUUCCAAGUGUUUGCCCCAAAACAACACUGGCUCUGCAGAAAGAUGAAGCAAUGAGACGCAGGAUGACGCUUGCCCUUGCCAUUUCUAGCUUUUGCUGUUUGCCAUUACCGAUCCCAUGUGAGACACUAGGAGGUACAUAUGCAUUUUUUUAUUCUAUUGCUGAUGUAAAUAGGAUUGUUUUCUCUGUAGGCAGCGCAGAAUUGAGUCCAUGGUCCUGUGCUCUAUAGCAAGCACAGGCCUUGGUGCAAUGAAUAAAGGGGAGGCCUUAUUCCCCAGCUCAGCCUUGGGUGUGCUAUGGUAAGACAACAAGCCGCAUGUACCUCUUACAUGUAGCCAGCAGCACAGUUCUGAGCCUCAAGCUGGGAAUGAAGGUGCCCAAGGCACCAGCUACUUGAGCCUCAGAACCUGCCUCGCAUGGGGUCUGUAAUAGCUCCAGUGGAGGCAGCUUUGGUGGGUGCAUGGGACAUGCUGCCAGCUGCACCGCGGCGGACACGCUCAGGUGCAAUUAUCCCUCACGCUGCGCCGAAGCAGAACAAGCUGCGUUUUUACGGCCGCAGAGCCUUUCCGAGGCACUGAGGAGCCCCCCGAGCUCUGCAUCUCCCCUCUCCCCGCUGGCAGGGCUGGGCAGGGGGUGCCUGCUGCUGCCGCUGCCCGCGCUGCUGCGGAGACGAGCGGGGCGCCCCGGGCUGCCGCCUCUCCCAGCCCGAGGCGGCGUGGGGUCCCGGCGCUCUCCGCCGGGCAGCCGCGUUCCCGCGCUCCCGCCGCGGCCACGACGGACCGCCACCGGCCCGGGGUGGCGUGGGGAGCGCAGCGGGGUCCGGGGCGGCUCCGGCCCUCCCUGCCGCCUCGGCCCCGCCUCGGCCCCGCACCCCGGCGGGGCGGGGGGUGGUGCCGGCUGCCGGGGCGAGGGCGCCGGCGGCGGGUGCGGAGCUGCCACCCCGCGGGCAGGCACGGCGGCGGCGGAUGGCGGCAAGGUGCUGAAAGGUUAAGGCUGGAGGUUUUCCUGCACUCUUCCUAGCUGCUGCUCGGCACUGCCCUGAGGAGAAGUGAUGGGGAGGCGAGCUCUGCCUUGAGGAGCAACGCUGGGAGGGCAGGCACUGCCCUGAGGAGAAGCAGAGGGAAGGCGGGGUGCUGCCCUUGUCUGUGGAGUGCAGGGGUGAGGCUCAUUGUGAGGCCGGCCGUGCCCCCCUGUGCUGGCCAC